ensembl:lncRNA
CUGGACCACUGUGGAUUAUUCUAAACACACGUUGACACAUAUGCCACCAUUCAUAUAGCCCUAGCAAAGGUUAAAAAUGUAUCAUGUUCUAAGGGGCUAUCACCUUCAGAAUCUGUAUGUGUUCUUUCUUUCUUAGUAGAACAGAUCUUAUCACUAGUUUUGAUCUUGCGCUCUAAAUUCUCUGAUAGUCUAUGAAUGAGUGUUUCAAUGUCUGUGUCUAUGAACCCCGGCAGAAUGCAACGUUUAUUCUAGCUGAAAUAUUUUAGAAUCAUUCAAAUACAUAACCUUUUCCAUGUAACACGGAUUACAGACCACAGAGAGUUGGUCCAACAGCUGUCAUGGACACCCUAGGAAGACAGUGUCCCCUGAGGUUUAUUUAUUUGCAAGCUCAGGAACUUCCAUUGAUCAAAACUGAUCACUACACCUGCCACAGGAUACUCUCAUACCCUGGGAGGAAGACAGCACCCUUGAGAUUUACGUAUUUGCGACAUAUAAUGUAUGGGACCACUGUUGAGGUCCACGCCAUAUGUGUCAUUUGUAUAUUCAGCUCCCAUGGCUAAAAUGUACAACUUUACUUCAGAAGCAGGGUAAUCAAACGCAAAGCCAACCAUUUUGUCAUCCCCCAUUUCAUGCUGAUCCGUCAGCUGCUUAAACUGAGGUAUUUGAGUUCUAUACACAUUAAGAAAACGCUUCUUUGGCGCAUCAUAUAUUUCUGAAACAUAUUUUUUUCGCUCCUCCAUUCUGCGGCCUAUUUCGCAAGUCUGGGUUGUCACGGGUGUAUCACUAAGCCCAGAAGCCAUCUUGAACUCAUCUCACAUCUUCAUCCGCUUAUCCGGUAUCGGGUCGCGGGGACAGCAGCUCCAGCAGGGGACCCCAAACUUCCCUUUCCCGAGCCACAUUUGCCAGCUCUGACUGGGGGAUCCCGAAGCGUUCCCAGGCCAGUGUUGAAAUAUAAUCUCUCCACCUAGUCCUGGGCCUACCCCGAGGACUCCUCCCAGCUGGGCGUGCCUGGAACACCUCCCUAGGGAGACGUCCUGGGGGCAUCCUUACCAGAUGCUCGAACCACCUCAACUGGCUCCUUUCGAUCCAAAGGAGCAGCGGCUCUACUCCGAGUUCCUCACGGAUGGCUGAGCUUCUCAUCCUAUCCCUAAGGAGAAGCCAGCCACCCUUCUGAGAAAACCCAUUUCAGCCACUCUUACUCGCGAUCUUGUUCUUUCGGCCAUGACCCAGCCUUCAUGACCAUAGGUGAGGGUAGGAAGGAAAAUUUACCGGUAUAUCGAGAGCUUUGCCUUCCGGCUCAGCUCUCUUUUCAUCACAAUGGUGCGGUAAAGUGAAUGCAAUACCUCCCCCACUGCUCUGAUUCUCCGGCCAAUCUCCCGCUCCAUUGUCCCCUCACUCACGAUCAAGACCCCGAGAUACUUGAACUCCUUUACUUGGGGUAACGCCUCAUUCCCUACCCGGAGGAGGCACUCCAUUGGUUUCCUGCUGAGAACCAUGAUCUCAGAUUUAGAGGUGAUAAUCCUUAUCCCAACCACUUCGCACUCGGCUGCAAACCAGUCCAAUGAGUGCUGAAGGUCACAGACCGAUGAAGCCAUCAGGAACACAUCAUCCGCCAUCUUGAACAAAAAAAACGAAUUCAACUGCAAACCAGAAGAAGUCUAGCUCUUAUUUAUUUGUAACUCAUAGAAUGAACCAAUGGUAACACCUCCUGAACCCCGCUUGCAUCGCUACAUCUCAAGAAAUCCAACACCCUCUCCUCCCAGAGAAGGAAGCCCUGGAAAAACAACUGUCCAAAUAAUACCACCCCGGACAUGAACGUCCAGUCAUACAUUUUUACUCAUAAUCCUUUUUGACCUCCCCUCUCAUCCCACAGAAUCACCUGCUCUACCCCUCCCUCCCUAACCGGACAUGUACCCCUGGAAAAACAACUGCUACCAUCCGGUCAUAAAACAAAACAUUUAUUAAUAAUCCUUUCACACAUAUGCAGCUGCCAGAAGGCCAAAGGUCAAAGCAAUAAAUCACUUGGACUUGUGGUGCCGUAUACUUUUUCUCUCUCCCCCUUUCUGAAAGUGUCAGGAAUCGGCCCCCCUGAGCCCUUCGGUGUGUGUUUUUCCCUUUCCUUUUGUGUAUCUCCUGCCUCUGGUACCUUAUGUUUGCGUUUUGGUCAUUUCUAUGUUUGUCUGUCAUUACAUCUCUCUGAGUACCAGUCUCCUUGUUCCCGGCACUCCCUGAAGGCACCCCUGCACCAGAGCACCCGUAAUUACCACUGAUUCUGAGCACCUGCACCAGUCUACACACCUGGGGGGCUGAUUGCCACUCUCCCUAUAAAUGCCUGCUUUCAGUCUCUGCCGGAUUAUUGUACAGCCACACCCUUGUUUCCGAGACCUGUCCUGCACCUUCCUCCCAACUACCUGGAUCACCUAUCUGCCUUCUCGUUAUCGACCUCUAUCGACUGACUCCCCGCUCUGUUGACCGAACCCUGCCUGACUCUCUGACCAUUCUUGCCUCCCAGACUUUGUACCACUGCUACCCACUAUCCACCCUCCAACAAUACACUCAUACCCGUCUACGUAUUUCUUACGUAUCUCCACUGUCAUCUCAAACUACUACAAUAAACAUAAU